ACCAUACCGCCAACUAUGGCUCUGAAUUUCAAACCUACAGUUGCACUGUAUUCUUCUAACCUGCGUUAUGGGUCCAUUGUGAUAUUCUCGCGGGUUGCUUGCAACGUAACACUGUAACGUGUUCACUUCAUAUAACCGUACUUGAAGAAAAUGGUGAAAAGACGUUCAGUGCUUGGCUAAAAACAGUGGACAGGUCCAUGCUCAAGUAAUCUCUACGACCUUGGAUAAGACUCCUGCUGUUUUGGAUCUUGCAAUCAAACAUGGAGAUAUCAAAGAACUUGAUUGAAAAAUCUCGACUUCCCGAGAUGAGGAUGGGUGAAAAUGGGUGAAAAGCCAUCGCUGUUACUUCCUGAAGUGAAGUUGGAAUCAAUAUAUCGAUCUUAGAGAUCUCAAAUGCUCUACAUCUGAACUGACACCUACAUCUGCAUGAUCAUAUAAUGUUCUAAUCACUGGAUGGUUUUC